UCCCCCUAGCAAUGGGCAAUGAGACAUCUGAUUGGUGGUGUUAUUCUUAUAUCAAUCAGGGGCAAAGCAGAUGUACAGUCCUUAGUUCAUCUGUGUUGGUGGCCAGGGCUGUUUCAUGCCUGAGGCACAUUU